rnacentral:misc_RNA from 1 species
AACUCUGACAGCCAUUUCCAUG